rnacentral:rRNA from 1 species
CAAUAGCGUAUAUUAAAGUUGUUGCAGUUAAAAAGCUCGUAGUUGGAGUUCAGAGUGAGCUCAGCCGGUCCGCCUCAUGGGUGAGUACUGGUCGACUCUCUCUUGUUUGUGAAUCCCGCCCGGAGUUAAUUCUUCGGGAUGUGGAGUUCACAUCGUUUACCUUGAAAAAUUAGAGUGUUCAAAGCAGGCUUAUGCCGUUGAAUAUAUUAGCAUGGAAUAAUAAGAUAGGACUUUGGUACUAUUUUGUUGGUUUGAGAACCAAGGUAAUGAUCAAUAGGGACAGUUGGGGGUAUUCGUAUUCAGUUGUCAGAGGUGAAAUUCUUAGAUUUCCGGAAGACGAACUACUGCGAAAGCAUUUACCAAGGAUGUUUUCAUUAAUCAAGAACGAAAGUAUGGGGAUCGAAGAAGAUCAGAUACCAU